UACGUAGGGUGCGAGCGUUGUCCGGAAUUAUUGGGCGUAAAGAGCUCGUAGGCGUUUGUCGCGUCUGCUGUGAAAACCCGAGGCUCAACCUCGGGCCUGCAGUGGGUACGGGCAGACUAGAGUGCGGUAGGGGAGAUUGGAAUUCCUGGUGUAGCGGUGGAAUGCGCAGAUAUCAGGAGGAACACCGAGUGGCGAAGGCAGAUCUCUGGGCCGUAACUGACGCUGAGGAGCGAAAGCGUGGGGAGCGAACAGG
rnacentral:rRNA from 1 species